CCUAGUGCAGUGACAAAUUUCUUUAAUGUCUGAGAAUUGAAAGAAUCAAACAAAUAAAUGGUAGUACGCCCAAACAAAUGAAAAAAAGAGAGAAGAAGUAUUUAAAUUUUAAAAACUGAAAUUACCAGCGGACUACAUGUAAAAUAUCAGCAAAAACAUAGCCUCCAACAACAAAGAACUAACCAUAUCGAAAUUGAACACACCAUUUACUUGCAGAAAAUCAAAGAAAUAGAUUAUCACUUCCUAUGCUUGCUAAUAUACACGCAUGUUUUCAUGAUCCAGAAAACAUGCAGGGAGACGUGAUUUGCAAGAAACUUAUUACUUUGCAGAAGAUGCCUGUAAAGAUUCUGCGUUUGAUGCCUCAGAAAACAUGCAGGGAAACGUGAUUUGCAAGAAAAUUUUAAAUUUGCAGAGGAUGCCUGUAAAGAUUCUGCGUUUGACGGCUCCUGAUCGAACUGGAGUAAUAAAAGGGUAUGUUUUGAAUUUGCUGCUACUCUCAGAAAAUGUAGUGUUGGGGUAGUCAGAACUGAUCAACUCCUUGGCCUUGAAAUCCAUCCCAUUCUGCUCCAUAUCUAUGGGGGAUUAUCAACUCCUUCGUCACUCUGUGUGUUUGAGAUAGAGAGAAAGAAAUGAAUAGUUUGAAUGAUUCUGUAUUCCAAGAAGCCAAAUGUUUCGAUAUAUAUAGACGAG
rnacentral:lncRNA from 1 species